rnacentral:rRNA from 1 species
GAUGAACGCUGGCGGCGUGCCUAAUACAUGCAAGUCGAGCGAAUGGAUUGAGAGCUUGCUCUUAUGAAGUUAGCGGCGGACGGGUGAGUAACACGUGGGUAACCUGCCCAUAAGACUGGGAUAACUCCGGGAAACCGGGGCUAAUACCGGAUAACAUUUUGAACCGCAUGGUUCGAAAUUGAAAGGCGGCUUCGGCUGUCACUUAUGGAUGGACCCGCGUCGCAUUAGCUAGUUGGUGAGGUAACGGCUCACCAAGGCAACGAUGCGUAGCCGACCUGAGAGGGUGAGCGGCCACACUGGGACUGAGACGCGGCCCAGACUCCUACGGGAGGCAGCAGUAGGGAAUCUUCCGCAAUGGACGAAAGUCUGACGGAGCAACGCCGCGUGAGUGAUGAAGGCUUUCGGGUCGUAAAACUCUGUUGUUAGGGAAGAACAAGUGCUAGUUGAAUAAGCUGGCACCUUGACGGUACCUAACCAGAAAGCCACGGCUAACUACGUGCCAGCCGCCGCAGUAACAC